rnacentral:lncRNA from 1 species
CCGACUCCUACUUUCCUACUUAAUUUGAUUAGUUGCUUGUCUUAAUUAAUUAUCCUUUGUCUUGUCUGCAUUGCUACUUAAUUCUUACUAAUUGUUUUCUUAGUUUGAAAUCUUUCUGAACCUAGCCUUAAUCACAUGUUCUAUACUGGUACAAUUUUGAAAUCUUUCCUUAUUUGUUACACUCCUGCCAUGUAUGAUUUCUUUCCUUACUUAUCACCUACUCUUUACCAUUUACAUCGAC